rnacentral:rRNA from 1 species
UACAGGGUGACAGCCCCGUACACAAAAAUGCACAUGCUGUGAGCUCGAUGAGUAGGGCGGGACACGUGGUAUCCUGUCUGAAUAUGGGGGGACCAUCCUCCAAGGCUAAAUACUCCUGACUGACCGAUAGUGAACCAGUACCGUGAGGGAAAGGCGAAAAGAACCCCGGCGAGGGGAGUGAAAAAGAACCUGAAACCGUGUACGUACAAGCAGUGGGAGCACGCUUAGGCGUGUGACUGCGUACCUUUUGUAUAAUGGGUCAGCGACUUAUAUUCUGUAGCAAGGUUAACCGAAUAGGGGAGCCGAAGGGAAACCGAGUCUUAACUGGGCGUUAAGUUGCAGGGUAUAGACCCGAAACCCGGUGAUCUAGCCAUGGGCAGGUUGAAGGUUGGGUAACACUAACUGGAGGACCGAACCGACUAAUGUUGAAAAAUUAGCGGAUGACUUGUGGCUGGGGGUGAAAGGCCAAUCAAACCGGGAGAUAGCUGGUUCUCCCCGAAAGCUAUUUAGGUAGCGCCUCGUGAAUUCAUCUCCGGGGGUAGAGCACUGUUUCGGCAAGGGGGUCAUCCCGACUUACCAACCCGAUGCAAACUGCGAAUACCGGAGAAUGUUAUCACGGGAGACACACGGCGGGUGCUAACGUCCGUCGUGAAGAGGGAAACAACCCAGACCGCCAGCUAAGGUCCCAAAGUCAUGGUUAAGUGGGAAACGAUGUGGGAAGGCCCAGACAGCCAGGAUGUUGGCUUAGAAGCAGCCAUCAUUUAAAGAAAGCGUAAUAGCUCACUGGUCGAGUCGGCCUGCGCGGAAGAUGUAACGGGGCUAAACCAUGCACCGAAGCUGCGGCAGCGACGCUUAUGCGUUGUUGGGUAGGGGAGCGUUCUGUAAGCCUGCGAAGGUGUGCUGUGAGGCAUGCUGGAGGUAUCAGAAGUGCGAAUGCUGACAUAAGUAACGAUAAAGCGGGUGAAAAGCCCGCUCGCCGGAAGACCAAGGGUUCCUGUCCAACGUUAAUCGGGGCAGGGUGAGUCGACCCCUAAGGCGAGGCCGAAAGGCGUAGUCGAUGGGAAACAGGUUAAUAUUCCUGUACUUGGUGUUACUGCGAAGGGGGGACGGAGAAGGCUAUGUUGGCCGGGCGACGGUUGUCCCGGUUUAAGCGUGUAGGCUGGUUUUCCAGGCAAAUCCGGAAAAUCAAGGCUGAGGCGUGAUGACGAGGCACUACGGUGCUGAAGCAACAAAUGCCCUGCUUCCAGGAAAAGCCUCUAAGCAUCAGGUAACAUCAAAUCGUACCCCAAACCGACACAGGUGGUCAGGUAGAGAAUACCAAGGCGCUUGAGAGAACUCGGGUGAAGGAACUAGGCAAAAUGGUGCCGUAACUUCGGGAGAAGGCACGCUGAUAUGUAGGUGAGGUCCCUCGCGGAUGGAGCUGAAAUCAGUCGAAGAUACCAGCUGGCUGCAACUGUUUAUUAAAAACACAGCACUGUGCAAACACGAAAGUGGACGUAUACGGUGUGACGCCUGCCCGGUGCCGGAAGGUUAAUUGAUGGGGUCAGCGCAAGCGAAGCUCUUGAUCGAAGCCCCGGUAAACGGCGGCCGUAACUAUAACGGUCCUAAGGUAGCGAAAUUCCUUGUCGGGUAAGUUCCGACCUGCACGAAUGGCGUAAUGAUGGCCAGGCUGUCUCCACCCGAGACUCAGUGAAAUUGAACUCGCUGUGAAGAUGCAGUGUACCCGCGGCAAGACGGAAAGACCCCGUGAACCUUUACUAUAGCUUGACACU